rnacentral:rRNA from 1 species
GACGAACGCUGGCGGCGUGCUUAACACAUGCAAGUCGAACGGAAAGGCCCUGCUUUUGUGGGGUGCUCGAGUGGCGAACGGGUGAUUAACACUUGAGUAACCUGCCCUUGACUUUGGGAUAACUUCAGGAAACUGGGGCUAAUACCGGAUAGGAGCUCCUGCUGCAUGGUGGGGGUUGGAAAGUUUCGGCGGUUGGGGAUGGACUCGCGGCUUAUCAGCUUGUUGGUGGGGUAGUGGCUUACCAAGGCUUUGACGGGUAGCCGGCCUGAGAGGGUGGCCGGCCACAUUGGGACUGAGAUACGGCACAGACUCCUACGGGAGGCAGCAGUGGGGAAUAUUGCACAAUGGGCGGAAGCCUGAUGCAGCAACGCCGCGUGCGGGAUGACGGCCUUCGGGUUGUAAACCGCUUUCGCCUGUGACGAAGCGUGAGUGACGGUAAUGGGUAAAGAAGCACCGGCUAACUACGUG